UACGUAGGGGCCAAGCGUUGUCCGGAAUUAUUGGGCGUAAAGAGCUCGUAGGUGGUUCGGUAAGUCGGGUGUUAAACCCCCAGGCUCAACCUGGGGACGCCACUCGAUACUGCUGUGACUAGAGUCCGGUAGGGGAGCGUGGAAUUCCUGGUGUAGCGGUGAAAUGCGCAGAUAUCAGGAGGAACACCAGCGGCGAAGGCGGCGCUCUGGGCCGGUACUGACACUGAGGAGCGAAAGCGUGGGUAGCAAACAGG
rnacentral:rRNA from 1 species